AUGGCCUCUUGGGGUUGUAUAGGAGGUCUGGCCUGCCCACUGAUAGUGUAAAGGGCUGCAGUAUUUUGACUGUACAAAGGUAGCACAAUCAUUAGUCUUUUAAUUGUAGACUUGUAUGAAAGGCUGGAUAAAUAAUUAUUGUUUCAGGUUUAAAUAUGUGAAUUUAAUAGCUCUGUUAAAAGACAGAGAUAUAAUUAAAAGACAAGAAGACCCUUUUAAAGUUUAUUAGUGAGUAGUCUAUUUAUUAUUUAUUAAGAGUAUAGUGGGUUAUUGAUUUAUUUUGCUGGGGCGGCAAGUAUAUAACAAAACGAAAUCACAAACAAAAGUAAGUGGAUAUUUAUUGUGAGCUUUUGGUUAGGCUAAUAGAAUAAGUUACUAUAGGGAUAACAGCGUAAUGUGUUUUGAGAGUUCUUAUUGACGAACAUGUUUGCGA
rnacentral:rRNA from 1 species